GAUGAACGCUAGCUACAGGCUUAACACAUGCAAGUCGAGGGACCGGCGCACGGGUGAGUAACACGUAUCCACCCUGCCCUUUACUCGGGGAUAGCCUUUCGCAAGAACGAUUAAUACCCGAUAUAAAGUAUGGGGAUGCGUUCCAUUAGGUUGUUGGUGAGGUAACGGCCCACCAAGCCUUCGAUGGAUAGGGGUUCUGAGAGGAAGGUCCCCCACAUUGGAACUUAGACACGGUCCAAACUCCUACGCGGGGCAGCAGUGAGGAAUAUUGGUCAAUGGGCGUUAGCCUGAACCAGCCAAGUAGCGUGAAGGAGGAAGGCUUAUGGGUCGUAAACUUCUUUUAUAGAAGAAUAUGUAUUAUAUGAAUAAGGAUCGGCUAACUCCGUGCCAGCAGCCGCGGUAAUUC
rnacentral:rRNA from 1 species